GCCGGGCAUGGUGGCACAUGCCUGUAGUCCCAGCUACUCGGGAGGCUGAGGCAGGAGAAUUGCUUGAGCCUGGGAGGCAGAGGGUGCAGUGAGCCGUGCCACUGCACUCCAGCCUGGCUGACAAAGCAAGACUCUGUCUCAA
rnacentral:SRP_RNA from 1 species